AACGGUGGUUCCGUGGUAGGAUGCUCGCCUGCCACGCGGGCGGCCCGGGUUCGAUUCUCGGCCGAU
rnacentral:tRNA from 1 species